AUGUGACUGCCAGAGGAAAACAGACUUCAUAAGCCUUCCUCUCAAGCUGCCAAAGCCCUUGUGUGGGAUGCAGAGUGUGAAAAAGGCCCAGACUAAGGGACACACUCAUACUAUUCAUGGGAGACAUUUAAGAUGGAAAGAAGAAGGGGAAAAUGUCAAUAUUAUGGCUAUCCAAAGUGCUUCAGUAGGAAAUCCAGGACUUGAAGAGAAGAGGCUGGACCUUCAGCUUGAUCCAGGCCAGGGUGAAAAGCUGUGCCAGUAUCUGUACCUACUCCGUCUCUUCUGCAGUGGAGAAGCCGCCCCCACUGACCUCGCUAUCACAUGGUGAAGGGGACAUAUGAGAUGAAAUGGC